GAUGAACGCUGGCGGCGUGCCUAAUACAUGCAAGUCGAGCGAACGGACGAGAAGCUUGCUUUUCUGAUGUUAGCGGCGGACGGGUGAGUAACACGUGGAUAACCUACCUAUAAGACUGGGUUAACUUCGGGAAACCGGAGCUAAUACCGGAUAAUAUUUUGAACCGCAUGGUUCAAAAGUGAAAGACGGUCUUGCUGUCACUUAUAGAUGGAUCCGCGCUGCAUUAGCUAGUUGGUAAGGUAACGGCUUACCAAGGCAACGAUGCAUAGCCGACCUGAGAGAGUGAUCGGCCACACUGGAACUGAGACACGGUCCAGACUCCUACGGGAGGCAGCAGUAGGGAAUCUUCCGCAAUGGGCGAAAGCCUGACGGAGCAACGCCGCGUGAGUGAUGAAGGUCUUCGAAUCGUAAAACUCUGUUAUUAGGGAAGAACAUAUGUGUAAGUAACUGUGCACAUCUUGACGGUACCUAAUCAGAAAGCCACGGCUAACUACGUG
rnacentral:rRNA from 1 species